rnacentral:rRNA from 1 species
AUGUUGGGUUAAGUCCCACAACGAGCGCAACCCUUGUCCUUAGUUGCCAGCAUUCAGUUGGGCAGACUGCCGGUGACAAACCGGAGGAAGGUGGGGACGUCGUCAAGUCAUCAUGGCCCUUACGUGUAGGGCUCCACACGUGCUCCAAUGGCAUAACAGAGGGAUACGAGACAGUGAUGUGGAGCGGACCCCUUAAAGUAUCGGAUUGGAGUCUGCAACUCGACUCCAUGAAGUCGGAAUCUAGUAAUCGCAGGUCAGAAUUCUGCGGGGAAUACGUUCCCGGGCCUUGUACACACCGCCCGUCACACCACGGGAGUGGGAACAAAAGAAGUAGUUAGUUUAACCUUCGGGAGA